rnacentral:rRNA from 1 species
AGCAGCCGCGGUAAUUCCAGCUCCAAUAGCGUAUAUUAAAGUUGUUGCAGUUAAAAAGCUCGUAGUUGAAUUUCGGGGUUAGUAGGUUGGUCAUGCCUCUGGUAUGUACUGGUCUCACUGAUUCCUCCUUCCUGAUGAACCUUAAUGCCAUUAAUUUGGUGUUUUGGGGAAUUUGGACUGUUACUUUGAAAAAAUUAGAGUGUUUAAAGCAAGCUAACGCUUGAAUACAUUAGCAUGGAAUAAUGAAAUAGGACGUUCGAUCCUAUUUUGUUGGUUUCUAGGAUUGACGUAAUGAUUAAUAGGGAUAGUUGGGGGCAUUAGUAUUCAAUUGUCAGAGGUGAAAUUCUUGGAUUUAUUGAAGACUAACUACUGCGAAAGCAUUUGCCAAGGAUGUUUUCAUUAAUCAAGAACGAAAGUUAGGGGAUCGAAGACGAUCAGAUACCGUCGUAGUCUUAACCAUAAACUAUGCCGACUAGGGAUCGGGUGAUGUUAAUUUUUUAAUGACUCAUUCGGCGCCUUACG